CCUACGGGGGACAGCAGUGAGGAAUAUUGGUCAAUGGCCGGAAGGCUGAACCAGCCAAGUCGCGUGAAGGAAGAAGGUGCCAAGCAUUGUAAACUUCUUUUGUAAAGGAAUAAAGUCAGGCACGAGAGCCUGUCUGAGGGUACUUUAUGAAAAAGCAUCGGCUAACUCCGUGCCAGCAGCCGCGGUAAUACGGAGGAUGCGAGCGUUAUCCGGAUUUAUUGGGUUUAAAGGGUGCGUAGGUGGGGUGUUAAGUCAGAGGUGAAAGGCUGGGGCUCAACCCUCAGCUUGCAGUUAAUACUGGCUGUCUUGAGAUGACGUGAGGUAUGCGGAAUGCGUGGUGUAGCGGUGAAAUGCUUAGAUAUUGCGCAGAACUCCGAUUGCGAAGGCAGCUUACU
rnacentral:rRNA from 1 species